rnacentral:rRNA from 1 species
GACAAGGAGAAUUUGGCUGUCUAAUUAAAAUAAAGCAUUGUAAUGGUCCCUGCGGAUGCUCACCCAAUGUGAUUUUUGUCCAGUGCUCUGAAUGUUAAAGUGAAGAAAUUCAACCAAGCGCGGGUAAACGACGAGAGUAACUAUGACUCUCUUAAGGUGGCCAAAUCCCUCAUCAUCUAAUAAGUGACGUGCAUGACUAGAUUAAUAAGAUUCCC